CGCUGGCGGCGUGCCUAACACAUGCAAGUCGAACGGACGAGGGGAGCUUGCUCCCCAAGUUAGUGGCGGACGGGUGAGUAACACGUGAGCAACCUGCCCUUCGGAGGGGGACAACAGCUGGAAACGGCUGCUAAUACCGCAUAACACAGCGGGGAGGCAUCUCUCUGCUGUCAAAGAUUUAUCGCCGAAGGAUGGGCUCGCGUCUGAUUAGAUAGUUGGUGGGGUAACGGCCUACCAAGUCGACGAUCAGUAGCCGGACUGAGAGGUUGAACGGCCACAUUGGGACUGAGAUACGGCCCAGACUCCUACGGGAGGCAGCAGUGGGGAAUAUUGGGCAAUUGGGGGGCAACCCUGACCCAGCAACGCCGCGUGAAGGAAGAAGGCUUUCGGGUUGUAAACUUCUUUGACGAGGGACGAUAGUGACGGUACCUCGAAAACAAGCCACGGCUAACUACGUGCCAGCAGCCGC
rnacentral:rRNA from 1 species